UACGGAGGGUGCAAGCGUUAUCCGGAUUCACUGGGUUUAAAGGGUGCGUAGGCGGGUAUAUAAGUCAGUGGUGAAAGCUCCGGGCUUAACUUGGAAACUGCCAUUGAUACUGUAUAUCUUGAAUGUCGUAGAGGUUAGCGGAAUGUUGCAUGUAGCGGUGAAAUGCUUAGAUAUGACAUAGAACACCAAUUGCGAAGGCAGCUUACUACAGGGAUAUUGACACUGAGGCACGAAAGCGUGGGGAUCAAACAGG
rnacentral:rRNA from 1 species